UAAGUUUCCUGAACAUUGAGGUGAGAAUGGGAAGAGACGUCUUUCACACCCUUAGCUGAAACACUCAGCAUACAGCUGAGACUCAGUUUCCUGACUGCCUGCUCACAAGGAAGAGCUUUCAGUUCCACAAAUGUCUCACCUCACUGCAGCGCAGAAUAGAUGAGUACUGGAUGCCAGUUCUGUCCUGGAAUUGAGAACACUAAGCAUCAUAGUUUGGGUCCUGUCUAAUCCUCUGGUGUGGAGUUAACCUGCUGAGACCUAAAAGCUCCUCUC